rnacentral:rRNA from 1 species
CCUACGGGAGGCAGCAGUGAGGAAUAUUGGUCAAUGGACGAGAGUCUGAACCAGCCAAGUAGCGUGAAGGAUGACUGCCCUAUGGGUUGUAAACUUCUUUUAUAUGGGAAUAAAAUGUUCCACGUGUGGGAUUUUGUAUGUACCAUAUGAAUAAGGAUCGGCUAACUCCGUGCCAGCAGCCGCGGUAAUACGGAGGAUCCGAGCGUUAUCCGGAUUUAUUGGGUUUAAAGGGAGCGUAGGUGGAUUGUUAAGUCAGUUGUGAAAGUUUGCGGCUCAACCGUAAAAUUGCAGUUGAAAAUGGCAGUCUUGAGUACAGUAGAGGUGGGCGGAAUGCGUGGUGUAGCGGUGAAAUGCUUAGAUAUCACGAAGAACUCCGAUUGCGAAGGCAGUUCACUGGACUGCAACUGACACUGAGGCUCGAAAGUGUGGGUAUCAAACAGGAUUAGAUACCCCGGUAGUC